rfam:Gossypium raimondii Chr12_contig_703, whole genome shotgun sequence.
AAUAGGAGAAUGACAAAUCAAAUUUUUCCUCCUGAUAUUCAACAUUUUCCUCCUAACAAAAUUCAAAUCCCACUAAAAAUGUUAAAUAUCUGGAGAAAAAAUAUGAUUUGUCAUUCUCCUAUU